rnacentral:rRNA from 1 species
ACCAGCCAAGUAGCGUGAAGGAUGACUGCCCUAUGGGUUGUAAACUUCUUUUAUACAGGAAUAAAGUGGUCCACGUGUGGAUAUUUGUAUGUACUGUAUGAAUAAGGACCGGCUAAUUCCGUGCCAGCGAGCCGCGGUAAU